GACGAACGCUGGCGGCGUGCUUAACACAUGCAAGUCGAACGGAAAGGCCCUGCUUUUGUGGGGUGCUCGAGUGGCGAACGGGUGAGUAACACGUGAGUAACCUGCCCUUGACUUUGGGAUAACUUCAGGAAACUGGGGCUCAUACCGGAUAGGAGCUCCUGCUGCAUGGUGGGGGUUGGAAAGUUUCGGCGGUUGGGGAUGGACUCGCGGCUUAUCAGCUUGUUGGUGGGGUAGUGGCUUACCAAGGCUUUGACGGGUAGCCGGCCUGAGAGGGUGACCGGCCACAUUGGGACUGAGAUACGGCCCAGACUCCUACGGGAGGCAGCGGUGGGGAAUAUUGCACAAUGGGCGGAAGCCUGAUGCAGCAACGCCGCGUGCGGGAUGACGGCCUUCGGGUUGUGAACCGCUUUCGCCUGUGACGAAGCGUGAGUGACGGUAAUGGGUAAAGAAGCACCGGCUAACUACGUG
rnacentral:rRNA from 1 species